rnacentral:rRNA from 1 species
UACAGAGGUCUCAAGCGUUGUUCGGAUUCAUUGGGCGUAAAGGGUGCGUAGGCGGCGAGGUAAGUCAGAUGUGAAAUCCCGGGGCUUAACCCCGGAACUGCAUUUGAUACUGCUUUGCUUGAGGACUGGAGAGGAGAUCGGAAUUCACGGUGUAGCAGUGAAAUGCGUAGAUAUCGGGAGGAACACCUGUGGCGAAAGCGGCUCACUGGACCACAACUGACGCUGAGGCGCGAAAGCUAGGGGAGCAAACAGG